CGUGUGUGUGUGUGUGUGUGUGUGUGUGUGUGUGUGUGUGUGUGUAUGUGUGUGAGUAUAUGUUCUUUUUCUGCUAGGCAACAACAGCUCUUUGCAAUGAUUCCUGCUCCCACCUUAACCUCAUAUAUUUGAGAGAAAAAGUGAAAUCAGGGAUGGCCUGGCAGCUCACGAGGGAGGACACCUGCUUUGCCAAUGCUACUGACCCAGGGUCGGGCACCCAGGACACCAUAUGAGAAUACCACAGCACUGGAGAAAACUUCAGUCCUGCGGUCUAUCUCCAUCUCUGCAUCUAUGCCUGGAAAACUCAACCCUGACCAACAAGAAAAGAAAAGAAAAAAUAAGAAAAAAAAAACAACGAAGUGUGGCCAGAGCGAGGAGGGGCAGUUUACAGAGCUGUUGGUCUUCUCUAGCUGCUGCCUAUCAGGAGGAGGGAGAUGAAUAAGGAACAAAAAAGUGCACCAUCACUUGAACUCUUGGGGGAGCAGAGCUUUGAGUUGCUCCCACAGACACAUCCCCACCUGUUGUGGCAUCCUCCUGCAACCUCCUGCUGAAUGCUUUGCCAGCCCCUGCUUGGACUGUGCCAGCUCCCCACAAGCCUUUCCCAUCUUGGGAUCAAUGAAGAGGUGCUGCAGCUGUGGUCCCCCCCCUUGCAUCUGGGUCACAUGCCGGCUCAGCACUUCCCAUCUUUGUAGUGUGCUGUUCCCUCUCCCUAAAGAUUUCUCCCCCUGGGGCUUCCCCUGUCCCCACAGAGCCCCGGUUCUGAUCACCAUCCCAGCCACUGUCCCCAGAAUGGGUUAGUGAUGGUUUCAGAGUAGCCUGACUGCAGCCCCUGCAUGUCUCUAUCCCACCCCCAAGGUCACGUGUCGCUACUGUCUGCAGAACACUGAAAAUCAUGCCUGUGCCCAAUGCUGUUGGCCCCUGGCUUCUUGGCCUUGUCCUCAAGCUGCUGGCACUGGGGUUCUAGUGUAGCUUGAGGAAUCUGUCUGCUCCCUCUCUCCUUCCUUUCAGGCAGCCCUUUAGAACUCCUCCAUCCUCUAACCCCUCCCCAUCCCAGAAGCCAUUUAGAGAAACCUCUUAGAGAGAAAGUAGGGUGUGCCUGGGAACAUAGCAUCUUAUCGAUAUGGAUCGUGAAUCCUCUAUCCUAAUUACAUCUGAACUCCUCCAGGGAGUCGGAAAGUGGGUCAUGUCUGUCUUUCACAUGACUCUUUUAUCCAGAGUCAGAAAUAGCACAGAGACUACUCCUUUUGCUCUGUUCUAGAAUUUCUGCAUCCAUGUUGUUUCUUCCCACGGAGGCACGGAUUAAAGCCAGCCCUGUCUGGGGCACAGCCCACCCCCUUCCUCAGGAGUAAGUUCAGCCUCUUCUGUCAUGAGCUCCAUCUCACUCACACACUCUUUGAGUCUCUGGGACUUCCCUGACUCCCUACUCACACCUGCCCCAGCUCUCUCCCUCACCUCUGCUCUGCUUUCCAGCCAUCCAGGACCCUGCUGGCACAGAUUUCCCCUCCGUGGCAUUGCCGCCCACUAUGAGUCCCACUGCUCCUGUAGGGGUGGGUCUGCCUUGCUUGAGGCUGGGACAUCCACAGGCAUACACACUCUGAUCUCUCCUUAUCCUGACCCUUCCCCUCCCCUAUACUCUGGCAUGGGGGAGGGGGGCUGUGAGUACCUUGGGAGCCAAAAGCCUGCUCAUUUCACCCUGCAUUCCCAGUUCCUAGCCAAAUGCCUGCCACAUUAUUUAGAAGUUAAAUGAGUGCUUGUCAAACCAAUGUGUAACUGCUAGACUUUUGAACCAUCUGCUAUGUUAGAUAUUAUUAGUCAGACAAUGCCUGCAAGGCUUCUCCAGAUGGUGUAUUACACAUGCAAUAAAAAUAAUAAGCCAGAA